rnacentral:tRNA from 1 species
GGGAGUAUAGCUCAAUGGACAGAGUUUCAGGUUUCGACCCUGAAGGUUGUAGGUUCGAGUCCUACUACUCUCG